GAUGAACGCUGGCGGCGUGCCUAAUACAUGCAAGUCGAGCGAACAGACGAGGAGCUUGCUCCUCUGACGUUAGCGGCGGACGGGUGAGUAACACGUGGAUAACCUACCUAUAAGACUGGGAUAACUUCGGGAAACCGGAGCUAAUACCGGAUAAUAUAUUGAACCGCAUGGUUCAAUAGUGAAAGACGGUUUUGCUGUCACUUAUAGAUGGAUCCGAGCCGCAUUAGCUAGUUGGUAAGGUAACGGCUUACCAAGGCAACGAUGCGUAGCCGACCUGAGAGGGUGAUCGGCCACACGGGAACUGAGACACGGUCCAGACUCCUACGGGAGGCAGCAGUAGGGAAUCUUCCGCAAUGGGCGAAAGCCUGACGGAGCAACGCCGCGUGAGUGAUGAAGGUCUUCGGAUCGUAAAACUCUGUUAUUAGGGAAGAACAAAUGUGUAAGUAACUAUGCACGUCUUGACUGUACCUAAUCAGAAAGCCACGGCUAACUACUU
rnacentral:rRNA from 1 species